UCCCUGGUGCUUUAAACAGUAAAGAAUCUGCCUGCAAUGCAGGAGACCCGGGUUCGAUCCCUGGAUUGGGAA
rnacentral:tRNA from 1 species